GACGACGCUGGCGGCGUGCUUAACACAUGCAAGUCGAACGGUGACGAGGAGCUUGCUCCUCCGAUCGAGUGGCGAACGGGUGAGUAACACGUGAGCAACCUGCCCCAGACUCUGGGAUAACAGUUGGAAACAGCUGCUAAUACCGGAUACGAGACGGAGAGGCAUCUCUACCGUCUUGGAAAGUUUUUCGGUCUGGGAUGGACUCGCGGCCUAUCAGCUAGUUGGUGAGGUAAUGGCUCACCAAGGCGACGACGGGUAGCCGGCCUGAGAGGGUGACCGGCCCGAGGGGCACUGAGAUACGGGUCCCACUCCUACGGGAGGCAGCAGGCUAGAAAUUUGGGCAAUGGGGAAACCCUGACCCAGUGACGCCGCGUGCAGGAAGGAGCCCUUCGGGGUGUAAACUGCUGUCGUGUAGGGAGAAGGGUACUAAGGUGAACAAUCUUAGUACUUGACGGUACUACAGGAGGAAGCCCAGGCUAACCUCGUG
rnacentral:rRNA from 1 species